AUUUACAUAUUCAAAAGCCUUAAUUGUUCUGAGAUGCGGGGAGGAAAAAAUUCUCUGCCUGCAGAGCUGUGUUUUUGGGAUGGAGCUGCUCACACUGCCAUUAGCACGGUGCUGCCUACAGUACCUACACGCAGCCUGGGUAAGGGAGGAGAGGCUGAUGGGAACCUGCUCUGUGAUGCACGUAGGGGUGGCAGGCAGGAGCCCAGUGGCUUUUAGCACCCGUGCAGCAAACAUGGUGCCCAACUCCAGCCAUCGCCCUGUCCCCAGUGCCAGCCUUGCACUGGACCCAAGGUGGUGCAGCUCAGCAUGCAGAUACCACAUCAGGUAUGUCAGCUGUCAGCCCACAGAGGCCAUCCCUGGCCAAGGGCUCCCAGAUUGCUCUGUUUGGCAUCAUGUGCUGACUGGAGAGGAAGGAUGUCCCCAGCAUCACACGGCAACUGGGGAGCAGAAAGCAUCAGCCCGGCAUCCCACCAAGCUGCUCACAGACAAUCUCUGGGAAGUCUCACCUUCUGCAGUGAUUCACCGCUGACCUGACAGUUCCCAUUCUGAGGAUGGGCGAUGGCACGGGCUGUGUGAUUUCUGGCUUUCCAGCAAGACCUGCUUUUGGGAGGGGUUGCAAGGGAGGUGCAUUUUGACACUGCGGAAAAAGCCCCGUGUCUCAGUUUCCCAAUAAAGAGAGGGAAGCCCCGUGUCCUGCUGUGGAAGAAGCAGAGGCAGCGAUGGUGGGGCCAUGAAAUGGUUAAAGCGGUGUCGUGCUGCCUCCCGAUUGUUCUGCAAGGUGUGUUGUGACAUUUGUACUUCCUCCUGCCACGGCGGCGGGGAGGGAUGCUGGCGCUGGGGCUGCAGCAUGGCCCUGCAUGGGUUGGUUGGGCGCUGCGGCGUGGUGCUGCUGCUGGCCCUGCUGUGCGACGUGCUGGGGCUGGUCCUGCUCCUCCUGGGGCUGUUCGCUCCUCUCAGCUACUGGGACUUCUUCGUUUACUUGGGAGCGCUGCUGCUCGCCUUCAGUAUUCUCUUCUGGAUCUUCUGGUACACGUUCAACAUCGAGGUCCCCUACAGGGAGCUGGGUUUUAAUUGACCUUCAGCACUGAAAUGGGAGCUUACGCUUGGAGGAGCAAUCUCACUUCACCAGCUGGGAAGCUGCAAAGCAUCGUUCCAUUGGUGAAGAGCAUCCACAAAGACUGCGGUUCCCCGAGCAUCGCCUGCCCACAUGGACACCAGGGAAAGGGACUGAAGAGGACCGGACUGUGAAUGUAGGGAGCAAGCAGAUGGAGAGGAACAGCAGCAAACAAGGACUCCAUUAUGCCACUCUUCAACAAAAGGUCUUCUAUUGCAAACCUGCCACCAAAGACACAGAGCGAGAUGCACUGUACUGACCUGCUGAGCCUGCCCUGGGCACGAGUACUGCAGACACCCUUUGAAUGGUGCCUUCGUGUCCCCUCUGAGCACCCUCCUACCCACUGCCAUGAUCUCAGAGAGCCCAGCAGGAGCUGCCUGGCAGCAGCAGAACCGCUGCAAAGUGUCCUGGUGAGCACUUGCAGGAUCCAGGCGGCAGCACGGACCAAUUCUCCCAGCCCCACUGAGGGUGUGAAGAGGCUGAGCAGGGCUCACAGCAUGUGGCACCAGCAGGACAUGCAGCCUGGGGACCUCACCUGUACUUUGAUGCACUCAAUGGGAGAGGGAGACAACAAAAUAUGGCAGGACAGGGGAUUUCCUAACAGAAGCCAGCUGGUGGCUGUAUGGAGGUCUUAGGUACAUUUUACCUGAUCUCACCAAGGUCUCAGGCACUUUCUAAUGGCACUUACUGAUGUACUCAGAAGGUCUGUUCAAAGAACUACUGAAGCUGAGGACAGAUAGGAAAAGAUGCAGUGUUUCAGCUGCCAAACUGGAGGCUCAGUGCAGAAACAAGCCUCCCUGCUAACUCCAAGUACAAAUCUCAGGUGGAAGGGGGUGAAGAGAUCCACGUCUUCCUCCUCCCGCAUUCCCAACACAGUGUUCAGCUUACCAUAAAGACAUCUGUGGGGUGGAACCACAUCUAAUACCUACCAGAUAGGCUGUUCCACACUUUCCAUUGCAGGCAUCAGUUUCCAGUCGUUUAAAACUUUAUCCAGCUUCACUCCAUUGUGAUUUCCCAUCCUGGAGCUCCUGUCUCAGAGAUGAAGGUGGGCGCUGCCAUCACUUCUCUCUGGAUGCUGGUGGUCAGGAUGGCACUGGUGUCAGGACUUGGCUGUUGGUUGAGCUGUGCCCUGCCACACAGGCUGCGUGCAGCUGUACUGACCCAAUGCAGGACUGAUUCACCACCAUUACAGAAAGACCUCCCAUGACUUCCCCAUGAGCAAUGGAGAUGUAUUUUGGGCACGGCGUGCACUCUGUGCACCCCCAUCAGCCGUUUCAUGCCAAGAGGUCCAAGGGCAGCAUGCAGAGAACACGACCUGCAGACGGAGGGUAGAGAUGGGGAUGCUCUGCUGGGAAGCAGCAUGGAGAUUGGUGGCCCUGCAUGCACCUGGCCACUACAGCCUCAAAGCAUCAAGAUAACUCACAUUUGAAACCUAUCUGGAACCACCUCCCAGUGCCCCAGAACGUGGAACAAGGAAUCUUGCACCAAGGGAUGGCAUCAGACCCAUCGAGCUGUGCCCUGGGGUUGCAAAACGCUGCAAGGUCCAUGCGAGGCUGUUGUGCAUUGCUCUGUUCUGGAGGAACUGUUUUGGUUUCACCUUUGUGGUUUUAUUUUGUUGUGUUGGUUCUUUUUCCUUUGUUAAAGUUGCUGCACUCCCUUUCAAAGCCAUUUGUUUACUGAUGGUGGAUGGUGGGGUGAAGGGGGAUUUAUGGCUGUGGUAACUCUGUCCACGUGUGGCUAUUACAUAUGGGAGAAUGGCAGAUGGAAGACAUGGUAGAACAUGUGGCAUAAUUCAUAGGCGCAGGACACCAAUGGCAAACAGCAGUAGCAUUAACCCUUCUCUGAAACAUGGGGGGACCUCUUCCUUUUUGUUUUUUGUUUUUGUUUUUUUUUUAAAUAAAACUAAAGAUUAGCCACUGUUGGCCCUUCUGCAUUCACAUUCAGUGGUGGGAGAGGGCACUCCACAGGUCAUUAAUCCAAAUGAACUCAGCUUAAGAGGACUUCAGUGAUUCCUACAAAUCCCCAUGAAUUCGGUGGCCAGGACAUUUCGGUUGUCAGGAGAUAGGGGGCCAUAACCCCCAGACAGUAACACUGGAAGCAAUGGCACCAUCUCUCCCACUGAUUGCCUUCUGCCCUGGGCAGGAGCCGACCUCCUCAGGGCACCCCGCCAGCCUGAAUCCAGACAUCCGUCCCUGGCUGAUCAAGCAAGAAGCCAGCUCAUAGCCAGGAACGUGAUUAAAUUUGAACUUCACCCACUGGCAGGGCCAGCCUUGCUCAAAGACUUGCAAAGUCCUGCAGCUGGCCCUGCCAGAGCCACAGCGGUGUCUCCAGCUGCUCCCAGCACUGGCAGCACUCUGAGCUGGGCUUCGACUGGUAUUUAAGCCUCACCAACCCUAACUGCUACAGCUGCCCAGCAACGGAUGGACAGGGUGGAUGAAUGGGGUGGGAAGCAGCAGCUCUGCACACCUAGCAGCACUGACACCAUUCUCACACCAUCCCAUCGCACACUCACUGCACUGCCAAUUGCAGGCUUGUUUUGCUGUCUCCACCCAGCGCUGCUGCCUUGGGUUGCUGUUAUCUGCUGGUAUUCUGCUGUGCUGAGAUGAAUCAAGGCUUUGCUGUGGAGCUUGGCCAUGGGGACACCACUGCUGUGGUUGGGCUGUCAUGGGGAUGCUGAACUGCAGAGCCAUUGGGGAAGCUCAGGUCUUUAGUGUCUGACCUGGCUUUCUCUGGGAAGCAGAGGGCAGCCAGAAAUAACCUAGUUUGGGGGAAGCAACAGGACUUGCUAAUGGAGAGAAAAUGGAGACCAGCUCUUUCUGGAUGUGUGCAACCAAAAAGAUGAGGCAAAGGGUCCUGAGGAAAAAUCCAGUGGGAUAGAAGUUUCAUUUUUAAAAAAAGAAAAGAAGAUCACAGUGAGAGUGGUCAUAGACCAGAAUGGAUUGCGGAGCUGAGGGAAUCUCCAUCCUUGGAGAACUUCCAAAGGACAGGAAAUGGUCCUGACCAACCUCACCUAACUACGAGGCUGACAUUUCUGACCCAUGUUAAGGGUUAGGCUCUGAUCGUGAGCUCUCCUCCGACAUGCAGUGUCUACAGGGAUCCUGGGAGGCAUUUCCAAUCACCAGAUGUCAAGAUGAUCGAAGUUUAGCACUUCUGAAAGCCACAGAAAUACAGGCUUCUGCACCACACCGGCCAUGGGUAUGAGAGCACUUCCCCAAAUCCUAAGACUCCACCAGUGCCCUCGUGGCAGCCUCACUCCAGUGGUUUUGCAGUGUCCUGUUGGUGGAAGACAUCCAUCCUCUUGCCACCUCUCCAGCCCUGCUUCACUUCCCAGCCUCCACUAAAGACCAGAGCUCCAUUAAUGCCUGCCUGAGCCCUGGCUGGGUUUCAAGUGGAUCCAGAGUGCUAGCCAGUAGCUAAUUGUGCUCACUGGAAAGCGUCGCAAUCAUUAGCAAUGGGAGUGAGAAGUGGCUGUGACCAGCAGCCAGCGGAUCUUGCCCAGGGGCUGGACAAGUAGAUAAAGAGCAUCUCCAGGUGACAACAGCCCUUGUGUGUUGCUGACAUCCCUGUGCUUCCUGAGGCUUGUGGCUUUCUGAACAAACCCCUCAUGCAUACACACUCAGACACUCCUGAGUGGCUAUCAGCCCAGCUGCCCAGAGGACCUGCAAGGGCUCCUGCCCACAUUUGCCAAGAUCUGCCCAUGCACAGUGACCAUGGACAGCACAAAGUGGCAGAGAAAUCACUCGCAGGACAAGGAAAGUGGCUUUUCCAGCUCCACAUACUGUUGCAGAAUGGCACAUCAUUUAACACAAAGCCUGCUGAACCACUGCUGAAGAGAAGGUCUUGCUAGAAAAUUCUCAUUCAGGUGUCUGUCAGCAGUUGCUGGAAAGAAGCAGUGCGGAGUUUCUGAAGCUGUUCAAGGUUUUUGGUUCUUUUUGUAGAGGGUUGUUAAGUUUUUUGAUGAAAAAAUAGCUGUGUGUGACCUUCACGGGAGAAGCGACCAGACCAGGGAAGGGGCAUCUGGUCCCACUGUGGGCAUUCAGGUAUCAGUGGGACAUCGGCUGAGCCCGUCAUGCACUGCCAACCCCCAGACCCAGUCCAGCUCUGGAAAACCCCACUCUUGUGCAAGGCUCCAGAAGGGGAGUUCUGCCUGGGGCUGUGCCCCAUGUGCCACCACAGGUGGACAGCGUGAAAAAGCGGAUGCCAUUUGCCAGAGAUGGAGCCAGAAAGAUCUUGGCUGAAGAGACCCAGGCAUGGGGACAUCCAGCUGGGUCACCGUCACCAUGCCUACAUCCCACACCAAUUGGACAACCCAGGCCAGCUCCAAUCCAUCCUUCGUGUGCUGGGUGCAGGGAGGGGAGGGAGCUCAGAGCAGCCUUCCUUUUAAUUAUUCAUGCUGAGAUUUCAGCUGAUGGAGCUGGGGCUCUCAGAGGCUGGAUCCUAAUGGAGCCUGCUGGCAUGUCUGGCCAGUAAGCACUCCUGGGCCCUGCACAAUUCCCACCUCUCCCAUCUCCGAGCCAUAAAAGUGCCACCUUCUCCCGCUAAUGAUGCAUUAUGCAGCCAUUACCCAGAGUUCAUAGACCUGCUGCCACCAGGCAAAGGUAAUGCUAAUGUGGGAAGGGCAACUGUGUUCUCCAGCCUGGGAAAUCACACACUGAUGGGAGGUUGCCAAGCCAGGAAUUCUAAACAGAGAAGGGGAAGAAUUUGGCAUGGAGGGGCACUGGGACCAACAGCACCCCUGUAGACCAGCCAGCAUUGUGCUGUGCUGAUGGCCUGCACAACAUCUUCACCUGCAAAGUCAUCGUGCCAUGGGUGAUGGAUGGAGUCAUCAGUGGAAGAUGAGUCAGGAGUAGCAAAGUCAGUGGUUGGACACUGUGCAGGAGAACAUCUUAAAUGCAUCAGGAGUGCCUGCCAGCCUGCUGGCUGUUCUGGUUGUCCCUUUACAGUGCUGGACAGGGCUUCCUGGGAUAUUCACCCACUCCUUUCCACAUGGACAUCCCACACAGCUGGGCAGGACUGGAAACACAGCCCUGCUGUGUGCACAGCUCAAGGUGCCAUCUAACUACAGAGGGGGUUCACAAGGACCACAGUGUCAUGGCAAGGCUUAGGUGAACUUACAGGGUCCUGUGUAUCAUUCCUGUGCCCAGUUUCUCUAUUGUCCAUCCAACAGGGAGAAAUGCAAACACCUGUCCAUAUGCCCAUUCAUCCCCCACAGCCUUUUAUCCUCACAACUCCAUCUGGUGCCCUGUUCUCAUGCUGAAGCUCCAUCCAUCCAUUUAAUGCCCAUCCAUCCCCAUGCACUCACCACCCAACUGUUCUCUGCCCACUGAAUACUCAUACCUACUUGGGAGAAGAGGAUCAAACCUGGGGUGGUUUUGGCUCCUCCUCCAAAGACAACACUAAACCUCGUGGUGCCUGUGCUGGUGGUCCUAUAGCAGUUAAAGAAGUGCAGAAAGGUUCUCUUACAGGAGGGCAGAGGGCACACUGUUGGAUAGGAUCUAUACCCC
rnacentral:lncRNA from 1 species